CCUCCCUCCCGCAUUCCUCCUUCGGUUUUCGGCUGCCCCUGUCCAAACCCACGAGGGCACUUCUGAGCCCCUUGGCCUGUCUCCGUGUUUCUGCCGUCUCAGCUCGGCUGUUGUAGUAUCCUAAUUUCACAGGGGCAAAACACAGCUCUGAUUAGCCCCUCAUCGGAAACUCACCUGGACCAACCACUUCCAGCCUCUCCAGGGGAUGGCUCAAACCACAACACACUUCAGUUACUGGAGCCAAAAUUAACCAAAAGAUCUUUCACAUAAGAGCCAAUUUCUAUGGCAACUAGAGAGGACAAGGGAGACAUCAGAAUGACACAGCAAGAUAAAGAAGAUUGAAAAAGUAACAUGACUGGGAUCAUAUGUGAUUAAAACAUCUUGUCAUUAAUUGUGGAAAAUGAUAGAAAUGUUUUCCAUGGUGGAAACAAUAUGAAAACGUGAUUGUGUUUCAAAACACUGUAUGUCCAGAUACAGAUUGUAAAAAGAUUUUAUCACUUUGUUUUGCUGCCCUUUUCAUUUUUCGCCUCAGAAAGAGAAAAUUGCAGGAAGAAAUGCUUCCUGAAUAGAAAUAAGUAACAUAGUACCAAAUUCCAAUAUAGAACACUCCUGUGUGAUGCAAUUGUAAAUUGAAAGACUAACAAAAUAAGUAGUAGCAAA